UACGUAGGUGGCGAGCGUUGUCCGGAAUUACUGGGCGUAAAGGGUGCGCAGGCGGUUUCUUAAGUCAGAUGUGAAAUGCCGAAGCUCAACUUCGGAAGUGCAUUUGAAACUGGGAGGCUGGAGUGCAGGAGAGGAAAGCGGAAUUCCUAGUGUAGCGGUGAAAUGCGUAGAUAUUAGGAAGAACACCAGUGGCGAAGGCGGCUUUCUGGACUGUAACUGACGCUGAGGCACGAAAGCGUGGGGAGCAAACAGG
rnacentral:rRNA from 1 species